rnacentral:sRNA from 1 species
UAUUCUGCCCUACGGGGAAGGAUGAGAAGCUUCGACUAAGGUUCGACUCGAGCGUAGCGAGAGAACGUUGCCGCAAGCAACGGCCCGAAGGGCGAGGCGCUUUAGCGCCGAGUCAUCCUUCCCCCACUACUG